rnacentral:rRNA from 1 species
UACGUAGGGUCCGAGCGUUGUCCGGAAUUAUUGGGCGUAAAGGGCUCGUAGGCGGUCUGUCGCGUCGGGAGUGAAAACUUACAGCUUAACUGUGAGCGUGCUUCCGAUACGGGCAGACUUGAGGUAUUCAGGGGAGAACGGAAUUCCUGGUGUAGCGGUGAAAUGCGCAGAUAUCAGGAGGAACACCGGUGGCGAAGGCGGGUCUCUGGGCCGACAUUGACGCUGAGGAGCGAAAGCGUGGGGAGCGAACAGG